rnacentral:rRNA from 1 species
AACUUUCAACAACGGAUCUCUUGGCUCUGGCAUCGAUGAAGAACGCAGCGAAAUGCGAUAAGUAAUGUGAAUUGCAGAAUUCAGCGAAUCAUCGAAUCUUUGAACGCACAUUGCGCCCGCCAGUACUCUGGCGGGCAUGCCUGUCCGAGCGUCA